rnacentral:lncRNA from 1 species
GACACUCAGCAAACCACUCAUAGACACUCGGCAAAGGUCCGACACUCGGUAAAUAAAUGGCGCGUGCAUCGCACGUGCACCGUCCGUCACCGGACUGGGCCGGCCGUUAGUCCUUUGCCGAGUGUUGGACGCCGACACUUGGCAAAGAGUCCGUUCGCCGAGUGCCACCCGCCCACACUCGGCCAAUCAAGAAGGUCGCCGAGUGCCACUCCAAGACACUCGGCAAACAUAUUACUUCGCCGAGUGCCUCACCCUGGACACUCGGCAAACACAAGACUUCGCCGAGUGUUUCGUUUUGCACUCGGCGAACAAAAAAAAAAUUUUGUCCCCUGGCCUCCACACUUUUUCUACUCCCCACGUAGGAGAUUUUGUAAUCCAUAAUAAAAG